CUAGUUAUUCUUUUAUUCUCUUUAACCAUCUAAAUAUUAUUAUUUUUGUUUAUACUUAUUCUCUAAUUUUUGUCUAAAAAAAUUUAUUUUAACUCUUAUUAAUAUCUGAACUUAUAUUGAUUUUAGAAAUAACUAGUUUCUAUGCAUAUAUGAACAACGGGACCCUUAGACUGCGUUUGGUUCGGAUAUAAAUAAGAAUUGCUUACUCCAGUGAUAGAUAUAAGUUCAGAUAUGAACAGGAACUAGACCAAUUUUUACGUUUGUAUGAAAAUUGGAUUGUUUCUAGAAAUAAGGUAUAGCAUUUCGAUGGUUAGAUAGGAAAAAAUGGAAUAAGAGUUAUAAUUUAAAAUUAAAAUUAUUUUAUCUAA
rnacentral:lncRNA from 1 species